rnacentral:pre_miRNA from 1 species
UUGACAGAUAAAAUCGAAUGCGGCGUCCGACGAAAUCAAAAAUUUUGAUUUCGUCGGACGCCGCAUCCGAUUUUAUCUGUC